rnacentral:rRNA from 1 species
UACAGAGGAUGCAAGCGUUAUCCGGAAUGAUUGGGCGUAAAGCGUCUGUAGGUGGCUUUUUAAGUCCGCCGUCAAAUCCCAGGGCUCAACUCUGGACAGGCGGUGGAAACUACCAAGCUGGAGUACGGUAGGGGCAGAGGGAAUUUCCGGUGGAGCGGUGAAAUGCGUAGAUAUCAAGUGGAACACCAGUGGCGAAGGCGAGUCCCUGGAAAACUCCUGACACUGAGGCACGAAAGCUAGGGGAGCAAACAGG